ACAGGGGGCUGACUCAGCUUGAGCAAACUCUUGCUAUCCCCUGCUGAGGUCCGCACUUGCUGUGGCCCCUGCCGCUCUCCUCGGACCUUGCUGCCCUCCUCCUUUGUCACUGUGGAGAAACAGGAAGGAAUGUUUAUUAGCAAGACUGACUGGGGUCACACCCAAGGCAAUAUCAGGUUUUUACCUCUCCCAGGCCUGGGAAGAGGUUCAAGGAUCAAGGACAAGCUCCCGGUUAGAGUGAGAGGCAAGUUCAAACCUUUGAAAAAUAAACUCACAACCAGCAUUUGGCACAGGCCUCUGGAGUUUACAGAAUGUAUCUGCCUGUGUGUGAUUUCAUUAGUUCCUCCUGCCAAUCUAAUGAGAUUUUACGUCCUGUAACAGUGAGGCAAUUGGAGUCUCAGCAGGGAAAGGAACUUGCCUAAAACUGCAGGAUGGGUAGCGCUUGGAUCCUGACUUUCUGACUCCUAGGACUGUGCUGUCUUCAGAUGAUCACAUGCCUUCUUGGCAGAUGUUUCUAACAAAGGAGAGAGUUGCCCAGGGUGGGGCUCUGCUAGCUCCCUUGUCAUGAGCCAUUCUCUCCACAUUGCCUUUUAGUUGCACCACAUAGUCACCUUCAAUUAGCUGUGCGAAUAGGCUCACUCUUAUGCUAACAUGUACUAAAAGUGAAAAUGGGGAGAGAGAGAGAGAGAGAGAAAGAGAGACACACAGAGAGAGAGACUCAUAUUAUGGUAUGUUCCCUGCCCCACCCCACUCCACUCCCUCUCAACAGGGAGAAAGUACCUGAAGAAAAUCAUUGCUAUGAAGGGCAUAGCCAGCUAAAUGGGUGUCACUUAGUCUGAAAAAUCUCAAAGAUGUCAAUAAGCCACUCGAGACAACAAGGAACCUGUUUUCCUGUCAUCAUUCCUUCUCAGUCCUUGGCUUUGGGAAGGGUAACUUUAUGGAGAGAGAAGAACCUCUGUGGAGUUAAAAGGUUUAUGAACUUUUUUCCCUGCAACAAAUCAGUGACAGCUGUUCCACAGGCUGAUGGUUUUCCCUUUACCUUUCGUUUUUUAACAGCUAUGUCUCACAGUCCAGACUUGGAGUACAAGUAAUAAGAAGAAUAAAACUUAAUCCCUUAAGUAGAUUCACCAUAAGUUAGCUCAGAGCAAUUCCAGUGCAAGUAUGGUCUGUGAUCCAGUAGUAUCUUACAGACAGCAAGUUGAACAUUGUGGGAUGCAUGAGCUAUUGAGGCCUUUGCAGCUUUCUGCUACAUGGAGGCUAGGGCCAGAGUCAAGAUUUAUGCUUUGCAGCACACUGGUCAGCUGUUUUUGCAAAUCAGAUUAAAUGAUUUUUAAAUGAGGCUGAGAGCAUGGGAGAUACUAAUGUGUGUUUCCUUGUGAGCUACUGCAUAAGUUAGGAAAUUGAAAUACAGAAAGAUGAAAAGUGAUUUGCCCAAGCAUAUAGAUCAAAGCUGUGGCAGAACCAGGACUGGAACCUAUAUCUCUCUACUAAUGGUUUUUUUAAAAAAAUAACCUUGUUUCAAAAAUAUUAAAAAGUCACAAGAAAGGUAAACAUGUGGAUAAACAAAAUGAAGAAAAUAAAAAUUAUCCAGUAAUAACAUA
ensembl:lncRNA CDKN2B-AS1 CDKN2B antisense RNA 1